UAGUUUGGAUAAUCUAAGAACUGAUUUGAGUCUUGGAUUAAAGCAUAAUCUAAAACUCAGUCUAUUUAAGGCAAUGGUUAGGAUAGGUUGCUCUGAGUUUUGCAUACCAUAACAUCACCCAAUAGUAGCUUCAAUAAACUUCUUUCACAGAGUUCUUUGAGAAUUAAAAAAUCUGAGCUCAGAUGUCAUUUAGUUCAAGUACCACUUUUCUUAUCUUUGGAACAUGCUCUUCUUAGUCUAUGUCUAAAUUAGCAAGUUGGAGAAGUAGUGCAGUUUUGAAGCAAAUGCUUCCCUUGUACUAUGUGUGGUUGGUUCCUCACAGCAGUUUUUGUGCACUAGACCUCACUUCCUUUUGGAGGAAGUAAAGAAAACAACAGUGAUCAUGAAUACAUACCACAGAUAAGUUUAUUGGGCAACAGGUAAUCUCAGUGACUACUGGGUUUGAGAAGACUGGCAAACAACGUUUCAUUACAUUUUAAAAAUGAAGGAAACAAAAAACCAACAUCAGGGCUGGCCUGGCAGGUGGGCACCUGUUAUGAAGAGCUUCCAGGAAUAUUCAAGUGGGAGCACAGUGCUGGGCCAAUCUGGAUUUCUCAGCCUUUGAUUCUCUAUGCUGGAGAAUAGGGAGGAUUCUCUCUCAUUGCUCUGGAAUUCCCUGUACCUGGGUUCAGAGAGGACUACUGGGAAAACACACCCAGAAACAUCCCAUCAGUACAUAGCUUACAUUAGCAACGUGCUGUGUCAAUAUGGCCAAUUCUAGCUGCAAUGAUCAUUAUUCACUCCAGCAAACGUGGCCAUUAGAUGCAAGGAUCUGGGAGGCCUGAGAGCACAGCAUGCCAGUGGAGACCCAAGACAAAUAAAGCAAUUGAGUAUGCUGAUGUUUUCCAUGUCAUUAAGUUCCAUGUCCCGUUAAGCAGAUAACCUGUGUUUCACUGGUCUUUAGCUGCCCAGAUAUUCUGGCGGUUUAUCAGGGAAAAGAUGUUAGAGGUUGGGUAUCGGGUACUUCAAGGCAUUGUUACUGAUGCUUAGAGCAGUUUUCAGCUUCUUUUCUUUCCUGCCCUCUUCUCAUAGAAACAAGCAUGAAAAGCCACAGGAUCACCAGACAUCAAUUCAACUCUCAGCAUGGAGGCAGCAGUGCCACAAUGCCAUUAAGGAAUGCCAUGAGGUAGAACAGAAAUGACUUCUACAUAUGAAAUCUUCAGACAGUGGCGAUGUGGAUGUCAGCACACUAAUACCAGCUGCUGGAAGCCCACAAAUUGACAGGGCAGCCCAAAGAGACACAAGGAAAGUGUCACACCAGAAGCUGUCGUCCUGGAUAUAUGUUGAAAGAUCUGUCUGUGUUUGUUCUGAAGUAAACUCCAAACCAAACAUUUAUGGAGCACUGGUGGGCAGUACUGACCACUUCAAACUGUGACUAAAUUCACUUUGUGUCAUCUUUUUCUUUUUUUCUGAAAGCUCUCAUAAAGUUCCAUACAGACAUCCUCAUUUGAGUUGCUGGGAUGGUAUUCCCACAUGAGAUCCUAAACCAGAUAGCAUGGUGCUGAGGUCACCCUGGAUGGCCUGAUCUGAGCCCCCUUUAAGCCUGAAGAGCUUGGCCCAAAUACCUCAGAUAUCUGUGGUUGGAUGAAUCCAUUUCCUGAUGUGUAGAUGCUGAAAUGGGAAUUAGUCACUAUUGUCAGCUUACAGGAGGAUCUGCUGUGGGAUCUUACCAGUCAUAGAGGUGAGAUUGACUGGAAAUAAUAACCCAUUUCCCAGAGUUCUUUCCCAGGAGACUUGGAACUCCUGGCCAAUUUUCUCCUGAGUUUCAGAAACAGCAAGACUCCCCCUCCUUUGGAGGCUGCCCACUCAACAAGGUUAACACUAUUUCAAAAAGCCAGCGUCCCUUGCGGUCUUUUUGAUGUUGGAGCUGUCUGCAGAAAACACCAUUCCAUUGUCUGAGAAACAGAAGGAAUAUGGUUCUGCAGGUUAGGCAACAGAUAGUUAGAAUCACAGAAUGGCCUGGGUUGAAAAGGACCACAAUGACCAUCAAGUUUCAACCCCCCCUGCUAUGUGCAGGGGCGACAACCACCAGACCAGGCUGCCCAGAGCCACAGCCAACCUGGCCUUGAACGCACUCAGGGAUGGGACAUCCACAGCCUCCUUGGGCUACCUGUUCCAGUGUCCUUGAAACUGAGAGAACCUGAGCCCAGGUGUGUACAUAUAAUUUAAGUAGUUGUUGAACAAAAUUCAGAAGCAGCCCUUAACAAAGGGGCCCCAGAACACAAGACUCCCCCUUUGUUAAUCUUGUGCCAUUAUGAGUAGGUUAAAGAACCUGUUUUGCUUUCACUUUUUGGCCAAGUGAGCCUUGGGUCCUUUUCUCUACCAUGGCAAAAAUUCAACAGGAAGAAGUGACAGCAUCUCUUUUUUACCCUCUAAUGCUUGGAACUUGCUGCAUUGCUACUUGGUCAUACAGUCAUUAUUCCUGUUGGUUUGUAACUGCCUGUGUCGACUUCUGAUUUUGCUGGUGCCAGCCUCAGGCUUAGAAAUGCUCAUUAGCUUUUUCUUUGCUGUCUGUGCAACUCAAUCAUUUAUCUGUCCUACCCAGGAUUUUAAUUUAGUUGUUGUUUUUUUUUUUCUUUCCCAAAAGGGAUUGAAGGAAGCUUGUAAACAUAAAAGAAAACUGUCCUCAGAGUAAUCCCUCCACAAUUGCUACCUGGAAAAGCAUGAUCUCCUGUUAACAUAUCUGCUUAAAGAUACACCUUGGUUGAGUCUCAGGGUUUGAGAAAUUUGAGUAGGUUUUGAGCAGUCAAACAUUAACUUCUGAGGCUCGUGGCUGGCUGAUAUACUUUCCCUGUGUUAGUCUUGAAAGCAUAAUGUGGCGUCUAACAAAAUUUAGUCAGUGUUAAGUCACUGUUGAGCAUAAAGCAGGUUUGCAGUUUAGAAUUACUUCUGUGUAUGUCGCAUUGGAAGGUUUUCCUUAUCUUACUGCUGAUGUUAUUAUUGCCUCAGAAGGACUUCAGGUUGGAUAUUAGGAAAAAUUUCUCAAAAAGAGUAGUGAGGCAGUGGCACAGGCUGCCCAGGGAGGUGGUAGAGUCACUGUCCCUGGAGGUGUUCAAGAACUGUGUGGGUGUGGCACUGAGAGACAUGGUUAGUGGGCAUGGUGUGAUGGGUUGGUGGUAGGACUACAUGAUCUUAGAGGGCUUUCCAACCUUAUUGAUUCUAUGAUUCUAUGAUUUCACUCUUCGGGAGUAUAUUCAUUCACAUUUACCCAAGCUUUAAGAAAUGAAACUGCUUGACCAACAAGCAUCGCUCUCUGACCAACUGAAGACACAACGAUCUCCUACUGACAUGAAGUCUGAUGACAGCACAGUGCUGUGAGCAGGAGAGUAAGACCUCCUGUGGGGUAUGAAUUAGGAGAUUUGCUGCUGGCAUAAAUAACUGAAUUAGGGAUGAGAUUAUACAUGUGGUGACUCACUUUUUACUCAAAUACAGUAAAGAAGUUUUAAGUUCUAUAGAAAAUGAAGACGAUUGCUUAUUAAAUUGAAAAGCGUGUAGAUUAAGUCCUGGGGUUGAUGUGAAACUUUCAGCAGGACCUCAGUGGGGCAGGUUAGAGGAAUUGCACAAGAUAGACGGAUGGUGUUUAUGUGCUCUUUCACUUAGUGUUGCUGUGAUGCAAAUGUAAAAGUUUGACCAAGAGCCUCAGCAUAACUGAAAAGUAUGUAACAACUGUGUAAAGUAAAAAUACAGAUAUAAAAUAGAAUGGCCAGUGGCUGUUCUCUCAGAUUGCUUUUUCUAAGGUGAUACUUUCCACAUGUGUUGGUCAUCAUUCCCAUAGAGGAAUAUGUGAGUGCAUAAGAGAUGGAAGACUGUGAUGCAGUCUGCUUGCUUGCUUUGAUUUUAUACGCUAAUAAGCCUUAAUUUGCAAGAGUGUUAAUUUAUGUCUUUUUUGUAUCUACUGUGUAUUAAAUGCUGGCUAUAUUUAGUGCAGUGUUUGGCAGCAUGAACAUGAUAAAAGAACAGGUGUCUGCUGCUUUCUAAGGUAAUACCAGAUGUUUUGCUCACUCUCAUUCACAUUUGUUUAUGCCUUCUCUCUCUAAGUUUUCAAAGCAUCGACUUGAAG
ensembl:lncRNA